rnacentral:sRNA from 1 species
GCCAGGCAUAGUGGCACAUGCCUGUAAUCCCAGCAACUCGAGAGGCUGAGACAGGAGGAUCGCAAGUUCAAAGCCAGCCUUAGAAAUGGUGAGGCACUAAGCAACUCAGUGAGACCCUGUCUCUA